rnacentral:rRNA from 2 species
UAGGUAGCUUAACCGCAAGGAGGGCGCUUACCACGGUAGGAUUCGUGACUGGGGUGAAGUCGUAACAAGGUAGCCGUAUCGGAAGGUGCGGCUGGAUCACCUCCUUUCUAGA